rnacentral:rRNA from 1 species
UACGUAGGGUGCGAGCGUUGUCCGGAAUUAUUGGGCGUAAAGAGCUCGUAGGCGGUUUGUCGCGUCGGCCGUGAAAACUUGGGGCUUAACCCCGAGCCUGCGGUCGAUACGGGCAGACUUGAGUUCGGCAGGGGAGACUGGAAUUCCUGGUGUAGCGGUGAAAUGCGCAGAUAUCAGGAAGAACACCCGUGGCGAAAGCGGCUCUCUGGAACGGUACUGACGCUGAGACGCGAAAGCGUGGGGAGCGAACAGG